CCAAUAGCGUAUAUUAAAGUUGUUGCAGUUAAAAAGCUCGUAGUUGAAUUUCGGGGUCAGUAGGCUGGUCGUGCCACGGGUAUGUACUGGUCUCACUGAUUCCUCCUUCCUGAUGAACCGUAAUGCCAUUAAUUUGGUGUUGCGGGGAAUUUGGACUGUUACUUUGAAAAAAUUAGAGUGUUUAAAGCAGGCUAACGCUUGAAUACAUUAGCAUGGAAUAAUGAAAUAGGACGUUCGAUCCUAUUUUGUUGGUUUCUAGGAUUGACGUAAUGAUUAAUAGGGAUAGUUGGGGGCAUUAGUAUUCAAUUGUCAGAGGUGAAAUUCUUGGAUUUAUUGAAGACUAACUACUGCGAAAGCAUUUGCCAAAGAUGUUUUCAUUAAUCAGUGAACGAAAGUUAGGGGAUCGAAGACGAUCAGAUACCGUCGUAGUCUUAACCAUAAACUAUGCCGACUAGGGAUCGGAUGAUGUUAAUUUUUUAAUGACUCAUUCGGCGCCUUACG
rnacentral:rRNA from 1 species